rnacentral:lncRNA from 1 species
CGGCCGUUAGUUUUCUCGUUUGAAUUGUUUUACAUUGUCUUAUCGGGGCCUAUUAUAGCUGACUAUGCGGUAUGGGCUUUGCUCAUUGUUGAAGGCCGUACGGUGAUCUAUAGUUGUUAAUGUCUGUGUCAUUUUGGUCUUUUGUGGAUAGUUGUCUCAUUGGCAAUCAUACCACAUCUUCUUUUUUAUAUUGUAUUUAUUUUUAUAAAUUUUGGUUCAUUUAUAUGUUUCAAGAAACAAACAUUGAACUUUUACCCCCUUUUUGUAGUUAAAUGAUUGCUCACUUAGGAGACAGCUUCAGGUAUAUCAAUACACAGUUACAAGUUUAGUUUCGCA